rnacentral:tRNA from 1 species
GUGGUGGCUCAGCGAUAGAGCGCUCGCCUAGCACAUGAGAGGUCCUAGGUUCGAACUUCAGCACCACA